rnacentral:rRNA from 1 species
AAUAGAUACCCGGGUAGUCCACGCCGUAAACGAUGAAUACUAGGUGUAGGGGUUGUCAUGACCUCUGUGCCGCCGCAAACGCAUUAAGUAUUCCGCCUGGGGAGUACGGUCGCAAGAUUAAAACUCAAAGGAAUUGACGGGGGGCCCGCACAAGCAGCGGAGCAUGUGGUUUAAUUCGAAGCAACGCGAAGAACCUUACCUAGACUUGACAUCUCCUGAAUUACUCUUAAUCGAGGAAGUCCCUUCGGGGACAGGAAGACAGGUGGUGCAUGGUUGUCGUCAGCUCGUGUCGUGAGAUGUUGGGUUAAGUCCCGCAACGAGCGCAACCCUUAUUGUUAGUUGCUACCAUUAAGUUGAGCACUCUAGCAAGACUGCCCGGGUUAACCGGGAGGAAGGUGGGGAUGACGUACAAAUCAUCAUGCCCCUUAUGUCUAGGGCUACACACGUGCUACAAUGGCAAGUAACAAAAGAUGCAAUACCGCAAGGUGGAGCUAAACUUAAAAACUUGUCUCAGUUCGGAUUGUAGGCUGAAACUCGCCUACA